UACGUAGGGCGCAAGCGUUAUCCGGAAUUAUUGGGCGUAAAGAGCUCGUAGGCGGUUUGUCGCGUCUGCCGUGAAAGUCCGGGGCUCAACUCCGGAUCUGCGGUGGGUACGGGCAGACUAGAGUGAUGUAGGGGAGACUGGAAUUCCUGGUGUAGCGGUGAAAUGCGCAGAUAUCGGGAGGAACACCGGUGGCGAAGGCG
rnacentral:rRNA from 1 species